rnacentral:RNase_P_RNA from 1 species
GCCGAACGACCGCGGGCGCAAGGCGAAAGCCUGCGCGUGAGGAAAGUCCGGGCUCCGCAGGGCAAGGAUAACGGGUAACGCCCGCCAGGGGUGACCCUCGGACAAGUGCAACAGAGAUAUACCGCCGCUUUUUGCGGUAAGGGUGGAAAAGUGAGGUAAGAGCUCACUCGUAGCAUGGAGACAUGUAUACGCUGUAAACUCUAUCCGGAGCAACGCCGUGGGAGAACAUACGGUCGGCCCGGCCGUUCUCAGGAGGCGGCUUGAUUCUUUCGGCAACGGAAGAACUAGAUAGAUGGUCGUUUAAGACAGAACCCGGCUUACAGACAGACUCGA